rnacentral:lncRNA from 1 species
AAAAAAAAAGAUGAGGCAAAAAGAAACUGUGAAAAGUGUUUAGCAAUGAGCAAGAGAGGGAGCUUACAAACUCUUUGAUGGUCAAUUAGCCAGAAAAUGUGCUAAAGCCUGGGUGCUGUGCUGGAUUACAGGCCCAGGAAUUACCCCCAAGGUCCUCAGAGUGGUCCUGCCGUCUGAGCACAGAGACAAUUACAGACCUCUAGGAGAUGCUACAAAGGCUUUAAUUAAGGGACUUACUAACACCCCACUAAGUUUUGGAAAUUGAAUUCUUUUUUGUGCUUACCUGAUGUUUCUUUUGUCCAGACUUUCACAUGUAUUUCAACAGAGAACACUAUUUCCCCCACAUCUGUUUUAUGUUGGAAGCCGUUUACUGUGAUAGCAGCAAAGCUGAGAGUUUAACCAGUAUAAGGAAGUAGGUAGAAAAGCGGGCUCGGAGGCUUUUUGCUGGGGAGCAUUUUGGGCUUAGAUUGAAAAUUGUAAUACUACACAUCUUGAAACAUCAGUAAGAGAAAACUAAUGUACUUUAUAGAAUUUGAAUUUUAGAAUUCCCAUUUCACAAAGCAAUGUCAUUUUCUUUGAAAUGGCAACUUUAUGUUUCUAGACACAGCAUGCUGCUCUUUCUCUAAAAAUAUGUUUUUGUUUGUUGAUGCUAUAAGGUUAGCCUUUGGCUACCACCCAGGUCUGAUUUUUCACAAGCCUAGACUCAUAUUUUGUUCCAUUUCGAUGUGACUGUUUUUAUUUCUGGAAAUACUCUGCUUUACGGCACAUUAGUCCUAGCUAGAGCACUAUGAUCACAUUAAUCUACCGGAGUUAUUGUGCUCAACUACCCCCUUUCUGCCAACAGUGGAGAGAGAUGCUCUCAUCUUUGAACUCUAGGGCCUAAUGGUUGCCCAGGUCAGCUAUAUCUCCCUUGUUUUCUUAGUGAAGUAGUUAUUCUCUCUUCUAUCCUUUGAAGCAAUUCCCUUCUGCCUGCAAAGUUUGGUUUGAACCUUAAAGGUUUUCAAAAGCACUAAGAAAUACUUCUGUUUUAGUAACGUUAUAUUUUCCUUCAGUAUUUCUAGUUUACAUGUAAUAUCUGUCAAGUGGCACAUUUUUUAGGUUCUCUCUGUUGUACCAAUAGACAACUUGAAGGAGCUUUUAUGUGCGUACCACUUAAUUUGUGUAUGAGGAGGACAGAACCUUAACCUUGCUGAAAAGAGGAGUCGAUAAGAAAAUCACAAGAAGUGUUUAACCUGUGAUGACAAUUUUAACUUGCCAUUUUUUCAUUUUUCACAAGGUCAGAUAUAAAGUGUGCAGUUUCAGCAAAGUCGAGUUUAUACAGGAAUCUUAUGACUGGGCUUCAUUUUUACAUGUGGGUUGGUAGGGAAGGAUAAUUUGUAUUGGAUGAUAGGGCAGCAUGCUUCCUUUUUACGUGUGAGUUGGUAGGGGAGGAUGAUUAGUAUUGGACAAGAGGGCAGCAGGCUCCUGUAUGUGCUGUCAGCUCCAUUGGACCGCUGUGAAGGCCUUCUGACCCCAGAGCAGUUUGAGAUGCUGCAGUGGCCUGGAUGGGUCUAUGUGUCCAGGUGACAGGGCCUGCUUUCUUCCCCGGGCGAUGUGCAGAGAUCUUUGCCAGGGGUCAAAGCGUCGGGAAGCUUGGGGUCCUUCAUCCUGACGUUAUCACCAAAUUUGAGCUGACCAUGCCCUGCUCCUCCCUAGAAAUCAAUGUUGGACCCUUUUUGUGAAGAUUGGUCUCUGUGGUGUGAUUCUCUUCCCAGGUGUCCCUUUCUCCUCCCCUAGUGUCCUUAAGUCCUCCUCCACAGGGAACAUCUAUUUGGGCUUUGAUGUUUAAUAAAGUAGAAAGCACUGUCUG